UAAUGUUUGCAACAAUCAUCUUAUUUGGAAUAAAGUAAAGAAAAUUAGGCCGUAUUGCAUUUAAUGGGAUGAUUUAGAGAAAUCCUAAGUUUAAUUUGUAAUUUUCAUCUUUAAUAAGCCAUCCUAAUGUGUUCAAUUGCUAGUAGGAGAUAUCAGGGAAAUCAUGAAGACAAGGAGGAUCAUGAAGGGACAAGAACAAAAAUGAGAAGAUGGAUGAUGAUGAAUUAAAGUGAAGGACAAAAGCAAAGAAGAUUUGGUCCAUUUUCAUCAUUAAAGAUCAGGCAAUAAUGGAAUCAAAGAGUGAUAUUUUGAAUGGUGAUUGAUCAUAUGGAUAAACCAAAGCAAAAGUGGAACAAGUGUCUAAAAUCUGAAAUUUCCGCACAAGUUGUCCACUGUUCGGUAUUUUUACCAUAUCUCAGCAUAGGAAUAUCAAAAUUGAGUGAUCUUUGCACCGUUGGAAAGAAGACUUCAAGGGCUACAACUUUACCAGAAAUACAAAAUUCAUAAUUCUGAACGGAGAAUGGAGAAAAACAGCCCGGAAGAUGAAGCUGCGUGCAGUGAUGUCAUUGCUUGCGAAAUUUUCCAUCUUCUUUCUCAUUAUGAUAUGUGAGGUCAUGGCAUAUGUAAUUCCCCAUUUCCAAAUUCAGAUGGAAUGUGAGGUCAUUGCAUAUGUAAUUGUCCAUCUUUGCUCCCUUUUGAUGCCUAUAUAAAGCCUUGUAACUCUCAAACUUCAACACACCAUUCCUCACCAAUUCCUUCUAUCUCCUCUCAUUCUAGUUUUCAUAUCUUAGUUUUAGUGUUGUGUUUUUCUUCAAGCAAGAGUGUAGGAGGAAACUCCAAGAGUUUGGUCUUCAAUCCAUAAGUUUUCUUGUUCCCUUUAUCUCUUUACAAUUUAUUUACCAUGCUUAUGAAUUUAAAUAUUGUUAGUUUGUUGUAUUCCAUUAUGAAUUGUGAGUAGUUGCAUUAAGGACUUGAAUUAGGGUAGGAUUAUCUUUAUUGAUGCGAAGUUCAUGAAUAUUUCAUAAAGGGGAAGGCUUUAAUUCAAGAGUUUAUUGAAGUAUGCAUAGAUUUAAUUGAAAUCUUGUUAGUAAAUGGUACGUAACAUUUGUUAACUUGCCUUUGGAUGAUUUCAUUUUAUAAUGGAAGUUAUAUGUUGAAAUCAAGCUACUCUUUGCAUGCACCCAAUUUAAUUUACGAAAGUAAAGAACAUUGUGGUUUUAAAUUGCUUAUGUCCUCUAAGAACUAGGAAUUGAUAUGUCACGAAAGUGGAGCAAAUCAUUGUUCUAAUCUUUAUCUUUAGUUCAUGAAAAUGAAAUUUAGAUUAAAGAUUCUUUUGUGCAAUUCAUUGAACUCUUAAAUUAAUUGUUUUCCCCAAAUCUUGUUAUUGCAUCUAUAAGAUAAUUCUCCUUAAUUCGAGUCCUAUCUUUAAUUAUCAGAGUUUAUACCAAUUGUAAUAUUGCUUUUAAUUCUUGAUGAACCUGUUAUAGCUUGUUACAUAUCAACUCAUAUAUGAUUGCUUGGAUUCUUGUUAAAUUUAUUCAUCUUAAUGCCUAAGAAUUUAAUUGCUAUACAAGUACAUGCCAUAAAACCCAAUCCCUUGAGAACGAUAUAAUUAACCCACAAAUUCACUACACCACUUUACACAUCAGUGCACUACAAUGUUAUACCCUUCCACAUAAUUAUUCUCCUCAAGCUAACUUUGUUUCACAAGGUGAUCCGUUUAUAGGCAGUCAUAAUUCUCACACUUGGUUUCCUGAUACGAUUGCAACCCAUCAUGCCACUCCUGAUAUAGCAGCUCUCUCCGGUUCAAACGAGUAUAAUGGUUAUGACACUCUUCGUGUCGGUGAUGGAUAUUCAGACCAAGAAAAUCCUUCUACGGGGCAGUAGCUGCUCUACACCUUGCCGGUUCCUCGUCCUCCUCCUUCAGUAUUUUUGUCUGCUCGUGCUUCGCCUUCUACGUAGCACGAUCGUCUAGGUCAUCCACAUCAGCGUGUUCUUAGUCGUAUUCUAAAGUUUUGUUCGGUUAGUGAGUCUAAUAAAAGUGUUCAAUGUACUUCUAGCUUAUGUUCUGCGUGUCAAAUGGGUAAAUCUGCGCGUUUCCCAUUGGCACGUGUUGAGUCUGUUAGUUUGAGCGUUCUAGAUUUAGUUUACACUAACAUUUGCGGGCCUAUAUAUAUACUUGUACUCUGCCCCCUCAACGUGUGCGGUGGAUUCCAAGCGCAACACGUGGAAAUCUCUUUUUGUGGGUGACGCGGAGAUUCGAACUCAUGAUCUUUUGCAUGGCUCUGAUACCAAAUUAAAGCAUGUGCUCCAUUUCAAUUAAAAGUCAAAGCUGAUAGUUGGACUGCACAUAUUAUAUUUAUACUCACAGAAUGCAUUAUACUGUUUACAUAUAUAAAGCAAAAUAACGCAAUAGACAUGGUACACAGCA